GAUGGUGGAGAGAACACAGGAUGUUUGGAAAAUGUAUAAAUAUAACUCAACAGACAGUGAACGCUGCUGUAUGGUAUUGGAUUGCUUUGCCACUCUUUGCUAGUCAUCAUGGCACUUUGCUGAUGCUAGUCUUCACAGAUUAUGCUAUGUACUAUUGAUUCAACUUGCCACUCUUUACUGAUCAUUGUUUGUUGUGACUUUGUAGAGAAAAGCACAACAGAGAACAUCUGGUUGUAUUUGGUGGUUUCUCGCCGCUUAUGUGGACGCGGGCAAAUUGGCAGAGAUUAUCAGUUUCUUCUAGAUGGAACUGCCUUUGCUGAUAUAUGAAUGGUGUUUGCUAAUGGACCAAGCUACCCUACCACUACUGAUUCAUGCAAACUGAGCUGCUUAUAUCUUAACAAGAAGAUUCUUCCUAGAGAAUUCUUCCUAAACAGGUCCACAUCCUCCUUUGCCCUACUAAACUUUAUUUUCCUCAACCACCUGUGGGCAGUGGGCUGGGCUAGAAGGUAUUUUAGAGCAUUUAAGUACACUUAUUAACAUAGGUUUUGAAUGAUAUAAGUCAAACAGCAACCAACUGAUUGUGAAAAGAUCUUUACCAUUCCUACAUCCCAUAGAGACCUAGUAUCCAAUAUAUACAAAGAAUUCAAGAAGUUAGACUUCAGAGAAUCAAAUGACCCAAUUAAAAAUGGGGUACCUAGCUAAACAAAUAAUUUUCUAUGAGGGGAACACUGUCAUAGAAGCAGGGGUGUACGAUGGGAUAGGGGGUUUUGGGGAGGAAACAGGGAAAGGAGAUAACAUUUGAAAUGUAAAUAAAGAAAAUAUCCAAUAAAAAUUAAUAUGAUCCAUUUAGUUUUGUCAAACACUAUUGCUGUUAUUUCUCUUUCCUUUUUCUUUUCUCCUCAAUCUGUAUUUACUUCCCUCCUUUAUUGCUUUGAGUUUCUCUCCAUUUACUUUGAUGUUGGCUACUGGUUUGCUGUACAUUGCUUUUAUUAUGUUUAGGUAUGAGCCUUGAAUUCCUUAUGUUUAGGUAUGAGCCUUGAAUUCCUGAACUUUGCAAGACAUUUAUCAUGAAGGGGUGUUGGAUUUUGUCAAAUACUUUCUCAGCAUCUAAUGAAAUGAUCAUGUGAUUUUUGUCUUUGAGUUUGUUUAUAUAGUGGAUUAUGUUGAUAGAUUUCCAUAUAUUAAACCAUCCCUGCAUCCCUGGGGUGAAGCCUACUUGGUCAAGAUGGAUAAUCUUUUUGAUGUGUUCUUGGAUUCGGUUUGCGAGGAUUUUAUUGAGUAUUUUUGCUUAGAUAUUCAUAAGGAAAAUUGGUCUGAAGUUUGCUUUUUUGUUGGAUCUUUGUGUGGCUUAGGUAUCAGAGUAAUUGUGGCUUCAUAGAAUAAACUGGGCACAGUACCUUCUCUUUCUAUUUUGUGGAAAACUUUGAGAAAUGUUGGAAUUAGGUCUUCUUUGAAGGUCUGAUAGAACUCUGCACUAAACCCAUCUGGUCCUGGGCCUUUUUUGGUUGGGAGACUAUUAAUGACUGCUUCUAUUUCUUUAGUGGAAAUGGGACUGUUAAGAUCUUUUAUCUGGCUGGGCAGUGGUGGUGCAUGCCUUUAAUCCCAGAACUUGGGAGGCAGAGGUAGGCAGAUUUAUGAGUUCAAGGCCAGCUUGGUCUACAGAGUGAGUUCCAGGACAGCCAGAGCUAUAAUGAGAAACUCUGUCUCUUUAAUCUGAUCCUAAUUUAACUUUAGUACCUGGUAUCAUUCUAGGAAGUUGUCUAUUUCAUCCAAGUUUUCUAAUUUUGUUGAGUAUAGCCUUUUGUAGUAGGAAAUGAUGAUGUUUUCUAUUUCCUCAGGUACUAUUGUCUCUUUUUCAUUUCUGAUUUUGUUAAAUAGGAUACUGUCCCUAUGCACUCUAGUUAGUCUGGCUAAGAGUUUAUCUAUCUUGUUGAUUUUCACAAAGAACAGGCUUCUGGUUUGGUUGAUUCUUUGAAUAGUUCUUCUUGUUUCUACUUGGUUGGUUUCUCACUAAGUUUGAUUAUUUCCUCCUGCUUACUCCUCUUGUGUGAGUUUGCUUCCUUUCAUUCUAGAGCUUCUAGGUGUGGAGUGAGACUGCUAGUGUAUGUUCUCUCUAGUUUCUUUUUGAAGGCACUCAGGGAUAUGAGUUUUCCUCUUAGGACUGCUAUCAAUGUGUCCCAUAAUUUUGAGUAUGUUGUGGUUUCAUUUUCAUUAAACUCUAAAAAGUCUUUAAUUUCUUUCUUUAUUUCUCCUUGAUCAAGGUAACAUUGAGUAGAGUGUUGUUCAGUUUCCACAUGAAUGUUGGCUUUCUAUUAUUUAUGCUGUUAUUGAAGAUCAGCCUUAGUCCGUAGUGAUCUGAUAGGAUGCAUGUGAUAAUUUCAAUAUUUUUGUAUCUGUUGAGGCCUGUUUUGUAACCAAUUAUAUGGUCAAUUUAGGAGGAGGUUCCAUGAUGUGCUGAGAAAAAAGUAUCUCCUUUUGUUUUAGGAUAAAAUGUUCUGUAAAUAUCUGUUAAAUCCAUUUGUUUCAUAACUUCUGUUAGUGUCCAUGUGUCUCUCUUUAGUUUCUGUUUCCAGGAUCUGUCCAUUGAUGAGAGUGGGGUGUUGAAGUUUCCCACUACUAUCGUGUGAGGUGCAAUGUUUGCUUUGAGCUUUACUAAAAUUUCUUUAAUGAAUGUGGCUGGUCUUGAAUUUGGAGCAUAAAUAGUUAGAAUUGAGAGUUCAUCUUGAUAGAUUUUAUCUUUGAUGAGUAUGAAGUGCCCCUCCUUGCCUUUUUUGCUAACUUUGGGUUGAAAGUCAAUUUUAUU
rnacentral:lncRNA from 1 species